GACGAGGACUCCUGGUCUGGCUUCUGGUCAGUACUGGGAGGACCGAGUCUUAUUUCUGGGGAAGCAAGGUGCUCUUUACUGAGUGCCUUGGGGAACCAGGACGAUUACCUUGAGAAAAAUAGAGUGUUUAAAGCAGGCUUGUGCUUGAAUACAUUAGCAUGGAAUAAUAAAAUAGGACUUUGGUUCUAUUUUGUUGGUUUUAAGGACCAAUGUC
rnacentral:rRNA from 1 species